rfam:Soboliphyme baturini genome assembly, scaffold: SBAD_scaffold0000693
GAAACCUUACUUCACAGGAUCAUUUCUGUAGUAAGUUUUUCCGAAUCCCAACCCUCGCUAACCAACACAAAUCACUGCGAUGAAGAUGCGAGGCUUCUUUCCCUGAGCAGGAAGCGUGGAUUGAAUGCCUUAUGGUAUUCUUUCUAAUUGAUGACUGCGCCGACAGUUAGUCGGUAGGGAAGGAAGGUUUCUGAGCAGC